rnacentral:tRNA from 1 species
GCCGCGGUGGCUGAGCGGUAAAGCGCUUGGCUUCCGAACCGGAGGUACCAGGGUUCAAAUCCUGGUGGUGACU